rnacentral:tRNA from 1 species
GGGGAUUUAGCUCAAUGGUUCAAGUGUUUGCCUGGUAAGUGCAAGGUCAUGAGUUCGAUACUCAGUAAUCCCCC